rnacentral:rRNA from 1 species
GACGAACGCUGGCGGCGUGCUUAACACAUGCAAGUCGAACGGAAAGGCCCUGCUUUUGUGGGGUGCUCGAGUGGCGAACGGGUGAGUAACACGUGAGUAACCUGCCCUUGACUUUGGGAUAACUUCAGGAAACUGGGGCUAAUACCGGAUAGGAGCUCCUGCUGCAUGGUGGGGGUUGGAAAGUUUCGGCGGUUGGGGAUGGACUCGCGGCUUAUCAGCUUGUUGGUGGGGUAGGGGCUUACCAAGGCUUUGACGGGUAGCCGGCCUGAGAGGGUGACCGGCGACAUUGGGACUGAGAUACGGCGCAGACUCCUACGGGAAGCAGCAGUGGGGAAUAUUGCACAGUGGGCGGAAGCCUGAUGCAGCAACGCCGCGUGCGGGAUAACGGCCUUCGGGUUGUAAACCGCUUUCGCCUGUGACGAAGCGUGAGUGACGGUAAUGGGUAAAGAAGCACCGGCUAACUACGUG